UUGAAGUCUACUGUUCUGGUGGAGGCAGCGAGGAGGCAAGAGCCGGUUUUAUAAAUACUUGAUAAUGAUUCUUGUUAUUCAACCAAAGUUCACAAUAAUUCAAAUCAUCCUAGACAGUUUUAAGUUUGAUCAAGUAUAACACUAUAUGAAGUAAUAUGGUAACAAGUAUACUUCUUUGCAGGCACUUAUGGCUACAGUGAAGAGAAGAGUGAGCUGUACUUCUUUGGUCAAAAAACUCCGAUGAGGAAUUGGAUUUCAGACUCUAAAAAAGAAGUAAUCACAGGAGAUACUAACUAGGUCAUUGGAUUCAAAAAAACAUUUCCGCUAUGCGCGCAAUUGAGAAUGCCAGCACAAAUGGGUUUUAGACAGGUACACAUUCGAAAGAGAUACCGUGAUGGCUGCAGUCUUUAAACUGUAUGAGCUCAGCCGAGGCAAGAGUUACCAUGGUCAGCAAACUUCUCUCACCUCCUCUACAACUGAUCCGGCUCUUGCCUCCUCGCUGCAUCCACCGGAACAGCAAGCAUUCAUUCAGCAGACUUCAUUCUCAAUUGCGCGCAUAGCGGAAAUGUUUUUUGAAUCCAAUGACCUAGUUAGUAUCUCCUGUGAUUACUUCUUUUUUAGAGUCUGAAAUCCAAUUCCUCAUCGGAGUUUUUUGACCAAAGAAGUACAGCUCACUCUUCUCUUCACUGUAGCCAUAAGUGCCUACAAAGAAGUAUACUUGUUACCAUAUUACUUCAUAUAAUGUUAUACUUGAUCAAACUUAAAACUGUCUAGGAUGAUUUGAAUUAUUGUGAACUUUUCCAGAAUCAUUAUCAAGUAUUUAUAAAACCGGCUCUUGCCUCCUCGCUGCCUCCACCAGAACAGCAAGCAUUCAUUCAGCAGACUUCAACAGGCCCGGUUCUCCCCUCCUCGCUGCCUCCACAAGCAGCAAAGCAUGACGUCGUGGAUUGAACAUGUACAAGAGGAUGGUUAAAUCUUCCUGUUGGUUUCUCCAUGGAACAAUAGAUAUACAAAGCAACCAACACAUUGAGAAGUUACUCCCAGGUAUCUAGGCUGAAUCCGGAGAGGUCCAUACCCUUGGCUGUUCUCAAAGGAGCCAAAGGCCUGGCAAUCCUAACCGUUGCUAAAGCUGGUGCACUACUUUCUUACAAACUUGGUACUGGUUUGGUGGUUUCUCGAAGGUCAGAUGGAUCAUGGUCUGCUCCAUCAACCAUAUGUUCUGUUGGCUUAGGAUGGGGUGCACAGAUUGGGGGUGAGCUCAUGGACUUCAUCAUUGUCCUUCCUGAUAUAAAAGCUGUGAAAACCUUUUGUAGUCGCAUGCAUUUCUCUCUUGGUGCUGGUGUAGUGCUGCAGCAGGACCUAUUGGUAGAGUGGUAGAAGCAGAUAUGCGUGCUGGAGACAGGGGUUCUGGAAUGUGCUAUACAUACAGUUGUAGCAAAGGUGCAUUUGUAGCAGUAUCAUUAGAAGGAAAUGUUGUUGACACAAGGAUGGAUACAAAUCUUCAAUUUUAUGGCGACCCUUACCUGACGACUAAUGAUAUACUACUUGGGAUCGGACAGUGGAAAGACCAAAGGCCGCGGAGCCCCUGUAUGGGGCCCUUCAAUCCCUCUACUCCAGUCUACAGUCCUAGAUAAUUCAGUUGCUUCUGAACGACUAGUUGGUCAAGUAAUAAAUUGGCUUAAGAAUUCCGAUCUUCAUUUGUUGCCCUUGUUUGCAAUUGUAUAUAAGAAAUUUAUAGGCAUUUGUUUAUACGUCUGGUCAUUACCGCUUUACCCUCCCCCUAUUGUGAAUUCACUUGGAACUGCUCUUGUAUAUAAGCAAAAAAAUUUGUAUUUACUUCGGCCUGA